GCUAACGCCCAUUUCACUGUGUAGAGCACUAGUUCUCGUCUGAUCACUAAAGUUAAGCGCAGUUGAGCGCGGUUAGUACUUAGAUGGGUGACCGCUUGGGAAUACCGCGUGGUGUUGGCU